GCUUAACGCGAAGAACCUUACCUACUCUUGACAUCCAGAGAACUUUCCAGAGAUGGAUUGGUGCCUUCGGGAACUCUGAGACAGGUGCUGCAUGGCUGUCGUCAGCUCGUGUUGUGAAAUGUUGGGUUAAGUCCCGCAACGAGCGCAACCCUUAUCCUUUGUUGCCAGCGGCUAGGCCGGGAACUCAAAGGAGACUGCCAGUGAUAAACUGGAGGAAGGUGGGGAUGACGUCAAGUCAUCAUGGCCCUUACGAGUAGGGCUACACACGUGCUACAAUGGCGCAUACAAAGAGAAGCGACCUCGCGAGAGCAAGCGGACCUCAUAAAGUGCGUCGUAGUCCGGAUUGGAGUCUGCAACUCGACUCCAUGAAGUCGGAAUCGCUAGUAAUCGUAGAUCAGAAUGCUACGGUGAAUACGUUCCCGGGUCUUGUACACACC
rnacentral:rRNA from 1 species